rnacentral:rRNA from 1 species
UACGUAGGUGGCAAGCGUUGUCCGGAUUUACUGGGCGUAAAGGGUGCGUAGGUGGAUAUUUAAGUCAGAUGUGAAAUACCCGGGCUUAACUUGGGUGCUGCAUUUGAAACUGGAUAUCUAGAGUGCAGGAGAGGAAAGUGGAAUUCCUAGUGUAGCGGUGAAAUGCGUAGAGAUUAGGAAGAACACCAGUGGCGAAGGCGACUUUCUGGACUGUAACUGACACUGAGGCACGAAAGCGUGGGUAGCAAAC